UGCCAGCCUUUUCAUUCGCUGAUGCGGAGACAAUCGCAGUGGUGAAUUCAUGAACAAAUAAACUGGACAAGGGGUAAACCUCAGACUGAUCAUCUUUGAGACGCUGGAGAACACCAUUGAGGAUAGAGGACCUGUGGAGGAGGAGGAAAGGAGGAAGAGGAUGCAGGUGGUGGAGAGGUUUCAGACGGCUCCUUCUGAGGAAAUAGCAGCUCUCUGUGGAUCCAGGCUGAGACACUUACUGAAGUAAACCUGGAGUAAUUCUGUUUGGUUUCUAAGGUGAAGGUAUAUCUGAGUGUAAAACUGUUUCUGGUUCUGAUUUACUGUAAUCAGGUCAUCAGUUGG